UUGAACGCUGGCGGCAUGCUUUACACAUGCAAGUCGAACGGUAACAGGUCUUCGGAUGCUGACGAGUGGCGAACGGGUGAGUAAUGCAUCGGAACGUGCCCAGUCGUGGGGGAUAACGCAGCGAAAGCUGUGCUAAUACCGCAUACGAUCUAUGGAUGAAAGCAGGGGAUCGCAAGACCUUGCGCUUUAGGAGCGGCCGAUGUCGGAUUAGCUAGUUGGUGAGGUAAAGGCUCACCAAGGCGACGAUCCGUAGCGGGUCUGAGAGGAUGAUCCGCCACACUGGGACUGAGACACGGCCCAGACUCCUACGGGAGGCAGCAGUGGGGAAUUUUGGACAAUGGGCGCAAGCCUGAUCCAGCCAUGCCGCGUGAGUGAAGAAGGCCUUCGGGUUGUAAAGCUCUUUCGGCGGGGAAGAAAUCGCACUGGUUAAUACCUGGUGUGGAUGACGGUACCCGAAUAAGAAGCACCGGCUAACUACGU
rnacentral:rRNA from 1 species